rnacentral:rRNA from 1 species
GACGUAGGGCGCGAGCGUUUGUCCGGAUUUAUUGGGCGUAAAGAGCUCGUAGGCGGCUUGUCGCGUCGUCCGUGAAAACCCACAGCUCAACUGUGGGCUUGCGGUCGAUACGGGCAGGCUAGAGUUCGGUAGGGGGAGACUGGAAUUCCUGGUGUAGCGGUGAAAUGCGCAGAUAUCGGGGAGGAACACCUGCGGCGAAGGCGGGUUGCUGGGCUGACACUGACG